rnacentral:rRNA from 1 species
AUUGAACGCUGGCGGCAGGCCUAACACAUGCCAGUCGAGCGGAUGAAGGGAGCUUGCUCCUGGAUUCAGCGGCGGACGGGUGAGUAAUGCCUAGGAAUCUGCCUGGUAGUGGGGGAUAACGUCCGGAAACGGGCGCUAAUACCGCAUACGUCCUGAGGGAGAAAGUGGGGGAUCUUCGGACCUCACGCUAUCAGAUGAGCCUAGGUCGGAUUAGCUAGUUGGUGGGGUAAAGGCCUACCAAGGCGACGAUCCGUAACUGGUCUGAGAGGAUGAUCAGUCACACUGGAACUGAGACACGGUCCAGACUCCUACGGGAGGCAGCAGUGGGGAAUAUUGGACAAUGGGCGAAAGCCUGAUCCAGCCAUGCCGCGUGUGUGAAGAAGGUCUUCGGAUUGUAAAGCACUUUAAGUUGGGAGGAAGGGCAGUAAGUUAAUACCUUGCUGUCUUGGCGUUACCAACAGAAUAAGCACCGGCUAACUUCGUG